rnacentral:rRNA from 1 species
AAAGGAAUUGACGGGGUCCGCACAGGCGGUGGAGCAUGUGGUUAAUUCGAUGCAACGCGAAGAACCUUACCUGGGCUUGACAUCCCGGGAAUCCCCCUGGAAACAGGGGAGUGCCUUCGGGAACCCGGUGACAGGUGCUGCAUGGCUGUCGUCAGCUCGUGUCGUGAGAUGUUGGGUUAAGUCCCGCAACGAGCGCAACCCUUGUCUUUAAUUGCCAUCAUUUAGUUGGGCACUUUAAAGAGACUGCCGGUGUUAAGCCGGAGGAAGUGGGGAUGACGUCAAGUCCUCAUGGCCUUUAUGCCCAGGGCUACACACGUGCUACAAUGGGCGGUACAAAGAGAAGCAACCUCGCGAGGGUGAGCAAAUCUCAAAAAGCCGUUCUCAGUUCGGAUUGCAGUCUGCAACUCGACUGCAUGAAGUUGGAAUCGCUAGUAAUCGUGGAUCAGCCAAGCCGCGGUGAAUACGUUCCCGGGCCUU